rnacentral:tRNA from 1 species
GGGGUUGUGGCUCAGUGGAAGAGUGCUUGCCUAGAACGUGUGACACUGGGUUUGAUCCUCAGCACCACA